CUCAGCUUUAAAUAUUCACCUCACACUCUCGCAGACUCCCCAGUCCCCAACAACAGAAAAUUUAGAGAAUGGAAACAGAGCAUAGGAAAAUGCUAACCAUGACCAAUAGUCCAAGCCAUUGACUGAAAAUCAAAGAUAUUACCACUUCAGAAUUUUGGUAAGUGCAAAUAAAAUUUCGAGGUAAGAAAAAAAAAAAGAAACUUUCACUUUGAGUUUAGCAGAUCUUGAGUAAAUAGAGAAUACCCAAAUUGAUAUUUUUCUUGGGGAGUUGGGAAGAGAAGAUAGGACAGUUAAUAUCUUUGGUAAAUUAAGAAAAUAAUGAGUAUGAGAGGGAUAGAGAGUACAAAAAUUACUCAGAUGCAGCAAAAAGUAUGAGAUUUACCAGAGGGAAAAUCUUGAGUUAGGAGACAGUGUUACUUCCAGGAUCUGAGCUAUGGAAGCAGUUACCAGCUAAUUCGCCACAUGUGCCUGUGACAUAUCUUUGAGUGUUUUGCAGUUGUGCCACAUGAUUUGAGUGCUUUUCUGGUCUGGGAAGCUUUAAUUAUUUGUUCUGCAUUACCAGUACCUGCGAGAAAGAAGAAGAGGAGAAAAAGAAACAAGAAAU
rnacentral:lncRNA from 1 species